rnacentral:rRNA from 1 species
GACGAACGCUGGCGGCGUGCUUAACACAUGCAAGUCGAACGGAAAGGGCGUGCGCUUGCGGGGUGCGCGAGAGGCGAACAGGUGUGAGACACGCGUGUAACCUGUCCUUGACUCUGGGGUAACUUCAGGAAACUGGGGCUAAUAUCGCAUAGGAGAUCCGGCUGCACGUCGUGGGCGGGAGAGUUUCGGCGGUUGGGGAUGGGCUCGCGGCUUAUCAGCUUGUUGGUGGGGUAUAGGCUUACCAAGGCUCUGACGGGUAGCCGGCCUGAGAGGGUGACCGGCCACAUUGGGACUGAGAUACGGCCCAGACUCCUACGGGAGGCAGCAGUGGGGAAUAUUGCACAAUGGGCGGAAGCCUGAUGCAGCAACGCCGCGUGCGGGAUGACGGCCUUCGGGUUGUAAACCGCUUUUGCCUGGGAAGAAGCGAGAGUGACGGUACUGGGAGAAAAAGCACCGGCUAACUACGUG